rnacentral:rRNA from 1 species
UAUUGCACAAUGGGCGCAAGCCUGAUGCAGCCAUGCCGCGUGUAUGAAGAAGGCCGUUCGGGUUGUAAAGUACUUUCAGCAGUGAGGAAGGUGGGUAUGUUAAUAGCAUAUUCAUUUGACGUUAGCUGCAGAAGAAGCACCGGCUAACUCCGUGCCAGCAGCCGCGGUAAUACGGAGGGUGCGAGCGUUAAUCGGAAUUACUGGGCGUAAAGCGCAUGCAGGUGGUUUGUUAAGUCAGAUGUGAAAGCCCGGGGCUCAACCUCGGAAUUGCAUUUGAAACUGGCAAACUAGAGUACUGUAGAGGGGGUAGAAUUUCAGGUGUAGCGGUGAAAUGCGUAGAGAUCUGAAGGAAUACCGGUGGCGAAGGCGGCCCCCUGGACAGAUACUGACACUCAGAUGCGAAAGCGUGGGGAGCAAACAGGAUUACAUACCCUGGUAG